rnacentral:rRNA from 18 species
AGUCGAGCGGAGUUGAUAAGAAGCUUGCUUCUUUGAUACUUAGCGGCGGACGGGUGAGUAACACGUAGGCAACCUGCCCUCAAGUUUGGGACAACUACCGGAAACGGUAGCUAAUACCGAAUAGUUGUUUUCUUCGCCUGAAGGAAACUGGAAAGACGGAGCAAUCUGUCACUUGGGGAUGGGCCUGCGGCGCAUUAGCUAGUUGGUGGGGUAACGGCUCACCAAGGCGACGAUGCGUAGCCGACCUGAGAGGGUGAUCGGCCACACUGGGACUGAGACACGGCCCAGACUCCUACGGGAGGCAGCAGU